rnacentral:rRNA from 1 species
GGGGGGAGCGAGCGUUGUUCGGAAUCACUGGGCGUAAAGGGCGCGUAGGCGGCCGGAUAAGUCGUGUGUGAAAGACCGGGGCUCAACUCCGUGUAUUGCAUGCGAUACUGCCCGGCUAGAGUAAGGUAGAGGCGAGUGGAAUUCCCGGUGUAGCGGUGGAAUGCGUAGAUAUCGGGAAGAACACCUGUGGCGAAGGCGGCUCGCUGGGCCUUUUCUGACGCUGAAGCGCGAAAGCGUGGGGAGCAAACAGGAUUAGAUACCCUGGUAGUCCACGCCGUAAACGAUGGGCACUAGGCGUUGGGAGGAUUGACCCUCUCAGUGCCGUAGCUAACGCGUUAAGUGCCCCCGCCUGGGGAUACGGCCGCAAGGCUG